rnacentral:rRNA from 1 species
CCUACGGGAGGCAGCAGUAAGGAAUAUUGGUCAAUGGACGAAAGUCUGAACCAGCCAUGCCGCGUGAAGGAUUAAGGCCCUCUGGGUUGUAAACUUCUUUUAUCUGGGACGAAAAAAGGGUAUUCUUACUCACUUGACGGUACCAGAGGAAUAAGCACCGGCUAACUCCGUGCCAGCAGCCGCGGUAAUACGGAGGGUGCAAGCGUUAUCCGGAUUUACUGGGUUUAAAGGGUGCGUAGGUGGGCUUGUAAGUCAGUGGUGAAAUCUCCGGGCUUAACCCGGAAACUGCCAUUGAUACUAUAGGUCUUGAAUUAUCUGGAGGUAAGCGGAAUAUGUCAUGUAGCGGUGAAAUGCUUAGAUAUGACAUAGAACACCAAUUGCGAAGGCAGCUUACUACGGAUAUAUUGACACUGAGGCACGAAAGCGUGGGGAUCAAACAGGAUUAGAUACCCUGGUAGUCCACGCCCUAAACGAUGGAUACUCGACAUCAGCGAUACACUGUUGGUGUCUGAGCGAAAGCAUUAAGUAUCCCACCUGGGAAGUACGAUCGCAAGAUUGAAACUCAAAUGAAUUGACCGGNNGAGAGNGCGACGACGACGACGAGGGAGGAGG